rnacentral:rRNA from 1 species
ACUCCUACGGGAGGCAGCAGUGGGGAAUAUUGCACAAUGGGCGCAAGCCUGAUGCAGCCAUGCCGCGUGUGUGAAGAAGGCCUUCGGGUUGUAAAGCACUUUCAGUCGUGAGGAAGGGUAGGUUGUAGUUAAGAGCUGCUAUUAUUUGACGUUAGCGACAGAAGAAGCACCGGCUAACUCCGUGCCAGCAGCCGCGGUAAUACGGAGGGUGCGAGCGUUAAUCGGAAUUACUGGGCGUAAAGCGCAUGCAGGUGGUUUGUUAAGUCAGAUGUGAAAGCCC